UAUGGUAAAUUCGAGAGUUUAUUUGGAAAGAAUAAUAGAGAGAGGGACCAUUUCUGCGAUUAUGGGAAAGAGUAUAAAAGAUCCGGGUAUAUAACCCUAAUACCCCCGAUUAUCAAACCCUAACCUAGGGAAGGAUGCAGCCGCCGCUACCACCCUUAUGCCUCCCAUCGUCGGCGCUGCCACCCAUUCCGAUCAGCCAGCGGUCGCUAAGCGGGCACCAAGCCUCCACCAUUCUCAUUCUUAUCCUCCUUCUUCGACCGCCGCUGUAGGCGCCGCCGUAGUGCUGCUGCUCCACCUGCUGCCGCGUCGACGAGCAUGGUCUCUCCGCCGCCUGAUGCCGCUGUAAUGCCGUGAGCGGUUGGGAAACCCCACCGAGACCAAACGUGGGCCAUGAACGAAGAAGAAGAUUAGGCUGUGGGUGACCAGAACCUUCGGUUAGGCCAACCUCAUCUCGCAUCUCCGCCCUCUCAAGGUGUUCGACAUUGUACAGGUCGCUGCUGCCACCGGAAGUGGCCCUUGGUCGCGGUUUCAUUUUGUCUAGCCGUCGAGUCAUUAGUCGGAAGCCAUGGUCUCGAGGUACAUUGUUUCAAAGAAAAGGAGCCGGCUUGGUUGCAGCGCAUCACACUAUGUUUUCUGCACACUGGAGUCUUAGGAUUACAUUCUGAUAUGGUUUUAUGAUACUAUGUUUUGAUUAUUGACCCUUUGGUUUGACAUGGGAUAUUAUUAUGAAAGUUUUUAUAUUGAUCGGUUUUAUGCAAUAACUUAAUUUAAAUGAAA